GACGAACGCUGGCGGCGUGCCUAAUACAUGCAAGUUGAGCGAUGAAGAUUGGUGCUUGCACCAAUUUGAAGAGCAGCGAACGGGUGAGUAACGCGUGGGGAAUCUGCCUUUGAGCGGGGGACAACAUUUGGAAACGAAUGCUAAUACCGCAUAACAACUUUAAACAUAAGUUUUAAGUUUGAAAGAUGCAAUUGCAUCACUCAAAGAUGAUCCCGCGUUGUAUUAGCUAGUUGGUGAGGUAAAGGCUCGCCAAGGCGAUGAUACAUAGCCGACCUGAGAGGGUGAUCGGCCACAUUGGGACUGAGACACGGCCCAAACUCCUACGGGAGGCAGCAGUAGGGAAUCUUCGGCAAUGGACGAAAGUCUGACCGAGCAACGCCGCGUGAGUGAAGAAGGUUUUCGGAUCGUAAAACUCUGUCGGUAGAGAAGAACGUUGGUGAGAGUGGAAAGCUCAUCAAGUGACGGUAACUACCCAGAAAGGGACGGCUAACUACGUG
rnacentral:rRNA from 1 species